UACACGCUGUGACUAGCAUAUCAAUAAGCGGAGGAAAAGAAACUAACAAGGAUUCCCCUAGUAACGGCGAGUGAAGCGGGAAGAGCUCAAAUUUGAAAUCUUAAAGGGUUUCCCUUUACGAAUUGUAGUUUAAAGAAGUGUUUUCUGUUGAGGUUUUGGUAAGAGUUCUUUGGAAUAGGACAUCAUAGAGGGUGAGAAUCCCGUAUUUGACCUUUACUUUCAACUUUGUGAUACACUUUCAAAGAGUCGGAUUGUUUGGGAAUGCAGUCCAAAAUGGGUGGUAAAUUUCAUCUAAAGCUAAAUAUUGGCGAGAGACCGAUAGCGAACAAGUACCGUGAGGGAAAGGAUGAAAAGAACUUUGAAAAGAGAGUUAAACAGUACGUGAAAUUGUCAAAAGGGAAGCGUUUGACACCAGUGUUGUUUUUCUGAAAAUCAAUUAAAGAACUGUUUAUGCUAAGCUGUUUAGACUUUAUCAGCUAACUGUUUAGUUUUGAGCUUUUCUUUAAUGCACUUUUCAGUUAACAAGUCAACAUCAAUUUCUUUUGCUGUAGAAAAGCUUGAGGAAGGUGGCUUGAGAUUCGUCUUAAGUGUUUAUAGCCUCUUGCCUAUGCAGUCGGAGAGAUUGAGGUCUGCAGCGUAGAUCCUUCGGGGCUAAAUGCAUUUGUGCUAAGUUAUAGCAUUUUAUAGACAACUUGUUGACUAUGAUUUGUCUUGUAGCUUACUCGCUUAUGUUAUUUUACCUACGCUUAGGAUGUUGAAGUCAUCGUAUCGCGC
rnacentral:rRNA from 1 species